rnacentral:rRNA from 1 species
AGUGAACGCUGGCGGUAGGCCUAACACAUGCAAGUCGAACGGCAGCACAGUAAAAGCUUGCUCUUACGGGUGGCGAGUGGCGGACGGGUGAGGAAUACAUCGGAAUCUACUUUUUCGUGGGGGAUAACGUAGGGAAACUUACGCUAAUACCGCAUACGACCUACGGGUGAAAGCAGGGGAUAUUCGGACCUUGCGCGAUUGAAUGAGCCGCUGUCGGAUUAGCUAGUUGGCGGGGUAAAGGCCCACCAAGGAGACGAUCCGUAGCUGGUCUGAGAGGAGGAUCAGCCACACUGGAACGGGGCCACGCUCCAGCCUCCUACGGGAGGCAGCAGUGGGGAAUAUUGGACAAUGGGCGCAGGCCUGAUCCAGCCAUACCGCGUGGGUGAAGAAGUUCUUCGGGUUGUAAAGCCCUUUUGUUGGGAAAGAAAAGCAGCAGGGUAAUACCCCGCUGUUCUGACGGUACCCAAAGAAUAAGCACCGGCUAACUUCGUG